rnacentral:rRNA from 1 species
GACGAACGCUGGCGGCGUGCUUAACACAUGCAAGUCGAACGGAAAGGCCCUGCUUUUGUGGGGUGCUCGAGUGGCGAACGGGUGAGUAACACGUGAGUAACCUGCCCUUGACUUUGGGAUAACUUCAGGAAACUGGGGCUAAUACCGGAUAGGAGCUCCUGCUGCAUGGUGGGGGUUGGAAAGUUUCGGCGGUUGGGGAUGGACUCGCGGCUUAUCAGCUUGUUGGUGGGGUAGUGGCUUACCAAGGCUUUGACGGGUAGCCGGCCUGAGAGGGUGACCGGCCACAUUGGGACUGAGAGACGGCCCAGACUCCUACGGGAGGCAGCAGUGGGGAAUAUUGCACAAUGGGAGGAAGCCUGAUGCAGCAACGCCGCGUGCGGGAUGACGGCCUUCGGGUUGUAAACCGCUUUCGCCUGUGACGAAGCGUGAGUGACGGUAAUGGGUAAAGAAGCACCGGCUAACUACGUG